rnacentral:rRNA from 1 species
AUGCACGCUAGCGGCAGGCCUAAUACCUGCAAGUCGGACGGGAUUCAGGAGCUUGCUUCUGAUGAGAGUGGCGCACGGGUGCGUAACACGUAUGUAACCUACCUUUAUCAGGGGGAUAGCCUCUCGAAAGAGAGAUUAAGCCCGCAUAAAAUCACAGCACAGCAUUGUGUAAUGAUCAAAUAUUUAUAGGAUAAAGAUGGGCAUGCGGAACAUUAGCUAGAUGGCGGGGUAACGGCCCACCAUGGCGACGAUGUUUAGGGGAUCUGAGAGGAUGGCCCCCCACACUGGUACUGAGACACGGACCAGACUCCUACGGGAGGCAGCAGUAAGGAAUAUUGGUCAAUGGGCGGAAGCCUGAACCAGCCAUGCCGCGUGCAGGAAGACGGCCCUACGGGUUGUAAACUGCUUUUAUACGGGAAUAAACCCAGAUACGUGUAUCUGGCUGAAUGUACUGUAAGAAUAAGGAUCGGCUAACUCCGUG